AGGGAGAUCUGACAACCUACUUUUUUUUCAUUUAUUUUAUUAUUCUGAUUUUAUUUUUUAUUAUUCAUAUUUUUUUUGAUUCAUAUUAAAUUCAUUUUUAAUCCAAAAAAUACGGGACUUUCACCAAAAAUCUUUAAAUAUUUUCCUCUUCCAUAUUUUGAAUUAAAAUCAUUUUUUGGAUAAAUUUUGAUAUUUUUUGUGAAUUAAAUGAUUUUUAAAUUGUU
rnacentral:lncRNA from 1 species